AAGGAUGAACGGAGAGUCUCGCUUCCGACAUCAGUUUGCAUAGCAGGAGAGGAGGAAACAGAUCACGAUGAAGAAGAUCAAUGAGUGGUGGUGUCAAUCCAUCGUUGGUACAUAGCAGAGGAGAGGGAAGGGUUUGAUUCCCUGAAGCUCUGUGUUUUGUUUCUGAUCUGUCGAUCAAUGAUGGUGAAGAGUACAUCAGCCGAUCGGAAAGUGUUAGUAUGCAGACGAGAGAGUCGCUCGUUCCAGAUCCAAUAGAGACUUGCCUGCCAUGAAAGAAGGGUUAGGAGACGAUUUGCUUUUUGUGGAGCCAGCGCUUGCAUCUGAUUGAUUGUCUCAUCCCAAGUCCGUCGAGGAGUUAUCCUGCAUCUAGUUGCUAUCAUAGUCCAGAGAUCAAAACUAUAGGAGCAAUCAUAAUAGAGAUUGUCUCUUGAUUCUAGCCGGGAGUUACAGAGGAGACAAUUCGGGUCAACUUGGAAUCCCCAACGAAGCAUUCUGUCUUUGGUGGGACAUCUGUUCAAGAUCAUCAGCCAUGAGUGAAAAGAGUGUCUUGGGAUGGACCGGGUGAACCAGACAACAGGAGCCCAGGCUUGGUCCGGAAAGUCUCCUCUCAAUGUACAGGUCCAACAUCGCUUCUGAUCUUGCCGGCGGAAGGUUCCAAUUUCCAUUUAUGCUCAGGGAUGCAAUAGUAGCGUUCAGUGGGAUUCCUAGGCGUGACCCGGAGGAAGCCUGCAGUGAAGAGAUACAACCAUUUGGAGCCCAGUUGUCCAGCCAAAAACGAGCUGACUGUCCAUUACCGAGCCUCAUUUUUAUUAAGGGAAACACUUCUGACCUCAGCUUGAUUAGUUUAUUUACUAACCAAUAGUAUUUCUGACUAGGCUUUACUGUCCAGUAGUUAUGCAGGGAACCAUUGAGAAUCACUUCUUUAAACCAAGCUGCCCAAACCGAGUCUUCUCUGAAAAAAAGAUCCAAAUGAGGCGCACUGAGCAAGCUCUGUUCCAGAUUAGAAGGCUUUAGGGAGGAUAAAUGCUCAGCACCAGAACGUUGUGAUCCCGGCAAUGAUUGUUUUGAUCAGAAGCAGACGUCCUGCAAAUGAUAGAGUCUUGACAGCCCAAGAGGAUAGGUGAUUUUUCACCUGAUGAAGCAGUGGUUCACAGUUUGCCAAUGAGAGCUUCUUGGAAUUCAGUGGUACUCCUAGAUACUUGAAAGAAAGCGUACCAUUGACCAUUCCAGUCGAAGCUUGGAUAGUGUUUAUUUCUUGUUCUGACAACCCCGAGGCAUAGAAACUUGUCUUUUGGAGACUGACAGCGAGACCAGACCUUCAAACUCCUUGAGAGCCUGAAGCACAUUUUGGACUGACCUCAAAGAUCCAUCGAUGAAAAUUAGUAGAUCAUCUGCGAAAGAAAGAUGGGUUGUGCAGAUGCAGGCUUUGAUCCAGGAGAUGAACUUUGAUGGGAGUUGAAGUCCCUGAAGACAAGAGAGGAUGAAAUCCCAAGAGAGAGUAUCAAAAGCCUUGGCGAUGUCGACUUUUAUGGAGAUUGGAUGGUAAUCAGUGAUCUUGGUUCUGGACAAAAGGGUUAGGGUUGGAGGAGUGAGAUGGUGAAAAAGUUGGGGAUGAACUGGAUCGUUUUAGGGAUGGUCUUGGAGGAAGGUCAUGCGAGGGUGGGGAGCUAGAUGAAGAAAUAUCAGGAGGAUGGUCUAUUAACAUUUGGUCGAGGCCAGGAACUGGUGGCACUAAAGGUCCUAAAGGAAUUGGAUUAGGCAUCAAGGAAUCAGGGUCACUUAAAGCUUGAAAAGGGUUUGAGGUUGAGUUAACUGACUUCUUUUUUACAUAAACUUGCUGCGGGUUUUUGGAAGGGGUUGUUUCGUUUUGUUUCCCUUCUACUUCAUCAACUACUCGUGUUCACCCAACAACGACCCUCUUUUUCAUCUUUUCAUGCUGUUCACGAGAAAGAAUGAUAGUUGAUACAUCUCUUCUUCUUUCAUUUACAUCAUUACAAUUCUUAAAUUAGUUGAUGAAGUAGAAGGGAAGUUAGGUUGGUGGGCAACGCCAAAUUAGUCUCUCUUUGUGUGUUUAUAAUAUAUGAUGAUAAUUUAAGAAUUGCAAUGAUGUAAAUGAAAGAAGAAGGGAUGUAUCAACUAUCAUUCUUUCUCGUGAACAGCAUGAAAAGAUGAAAAAGAGGGUCGUUGUUGGGUGAGUUGUGUUUACGUGUCGGCCUCAAAGCUAAUACAACCAAGAUCUUGACCUUUUUUUGUGAGCUUCCAAAGUUUAGAAGCUAAACAAAGAGUUGCUUGAAAAGUUGAAAAAGACUUGGAACUACUCCGUAGGAAAUACUUUUGUUUGACGAGAGAAGCUUUGCAUGGACUUUCUAUUAAAAGACUAGCAUUGGCUUCUUAAGGGAUUCUAAUUAAUGUGAUUUCUUUGAUUAAAGAAAACAGAUAAUUUGCUUUUU